rnacentral:rRNA from 1 species
UACAGAGGGUGCGAGCGUUAAUCGGAAUUACUGGGCGUAAAGCGUGCGUAGACGGUAGCGUAAGUCAGAUGUGAAAGCCCCGGGCUCAACCUGGGAACUGCAUUUGAGACUGCUCUGCUCGGGUGCGGAAGAGGGAAGCGGAAUUUCCGGUGUAGCGGUGAAAUGCGUAGAUAUCGUGAGGAACACCAGAGGCGAAGGCGGCUACCUGGACAACUGCUGACGCUCAGGCACGAAAGCGUGGGGAGCAAAAGGG